AGCGAACGCUGGCGGCAGGCCUAACACAUGCAAGUCGAACGAACUCUUCGGAGUUAGUGGCGGACGGGUGAGUAACACGUGGGAACGUGCCCUUUGGUUCGGAAUAACUCAGGGAAACUUGUGCUAAUACCGAAUGUGCCCUUCGGGGGAAAGAUUUAUUGCCAUUUGAGCGGCCCGCGUCUGAUUAGCUAGUUGGUGAGGUAACGGCUCACCAAGGCGACGAUCAGUAGCUGGUCUGAGAGGAUGACCAGCCACACUGGGACUGAGGCACGGCCCAGACUCCUACGGGAGGCAGCAGUGGGGAAUCUUGCGCAAUGGGCGAAAGCCUGACGCAGCCAUGCCGCGUGAAUGAUGAAGGUCUUAGGAUUGUAAAAUUCUUUCACCGGGGACGAUAAUGACGGUACCCGGAGAAGAAGCCCCGGCUAACUUCGUG
rnacentral:rRNA from 1 species